UAGAAGGCAAGCUGCUCUAGACCCACUAGGAUUUCUAUCCAAACCCCAAUGACUGGUAAUACAGUGGCAUCUCUAGAACAGUAGCUUGUCUAAUCACCCUUAAAAUUAAUGUCAUUUUGAAUACAAUAAUGCUUCAGAUUCCUUGAAGUACUUACAUAGUACUUCAGCAAACUACUAGAAGAGUUUUGGAUGAGACCAGAUACUAUGGGAGUUCUUUCCCACCCUGAGUACCCAUUGCUGCAUAGUUCAUUUGACAAGUACUAUCAAUGCCACAGUUUUCCAAUCCAGUGUUUCUUCAUGCUUUUUUUCUGUCUAGCAGACAAUCUAGUACUACCAUGUUGACAUGAAGCUUUUCAAUGUCCUCUAGUUAAUUUGUUUAACUUUAUAUAUAGUUUUAUCUCACAUCGUUUUUGGGCUUUUUUUUGGCCUAGUAAGCUGUCCAUGAUAAGAAAGUUUAGAAAAAAAGUCAAGGUCAACAGUCAUUUACCAUCUAAGCUUUCCCUAGGUAUCUUUUUAUUCUGAGGACAGGGAAAAGUGUGCUAAAUUCAGAUGUCACCAUGCGGUCAGGGCUGACAAAUGUUGACUAUUUCUUAGAAUAAUACUCAUGUUGUAGCUGUCCAGUGUGGUCCUGUGGGGUUUUGUUAGCUGGUAUGUUAGCAAAACAGAGAUCCAAACAUGAAACCUUUCUUUCCUCAAUGUGGGUGUUCAGGAAGUUACAUGACUGUGAAAUCCAUAGGAUAUAAUUGAAACAGUUUUGCAAUCUAAUGAGAGAGAACUCAAAAUAGGGCCUUUGUGGUAUUUGCACAUUGAAAACAAUUGGGAGUUUUCCCUGAAAAAUAUCCAAGGACUGAGUCCCCAGAGCAAUAUUUUCCACGGCACCAAGUCUACACCAGUGCACCAUCAGUCUCACUCAGGCCUCAAAAAUAAAGCCUAAAAGGACACAAAUGAUAUAUAUGCCUUGGGCUGAGCUUCAACCCAAGCGUAAAUUUCCUCUGAAAACAAUUUAAUGUUGCUUUCAUCAUCACUGGCAAAGAUACUGCUUACAAACACUAUUAUAAAGUACUUUCUUACUCAGAGCCUGAUGACAAGCAGCCCCUCUCCUAAGUUUAACCAAACAAAAUAACAAUAAAAUAUGGUUUGUACCCAUCUGGGCAAUUAUCACUAGAUGCUGGAAAGUAAUAAUAGUGUGUCUACAUAGUAGAUGGUCGCAUUUCCAGAAUGAAAUUAAACUAGGUCCAGAACAGGAACUGGUUCUAACCACACAAUAAAAUUUAGCUGGAAGUUGAAAAAUGCAGUUCAGGCAGGGAUCAGUCUCCUUGUCUUAACUCUUGCUGUUUCAUCUCUCCUGCAGCUCUGUCCCUGAGCCCUGCAGACCCUUUGGUGCUCUGCAGGGAGUUAAACAGGGUCCUUGCUCAGAGGCCUCGGAAAGCUCCUUAUCUACAGAUCUGAGCACCUUCUUUUGUUACACUGGGCUCUGUUUGUUUCUCUCUUAAUCUCAGCAGAGUCUUGUAUUCUUUUAGCUUUUUGCCCUUUCACGUGAGGGAUUACCAGUGUCGCUGGCAGGCUUUGCUGAGAGCUGGAGUACCUCUGGAAGGGCGCUGCCCCUUCUCCCUGUGCAUCCAGCCACGGCACAGCCCCUGCAAUGAUGGAACACCCAGCCCCGGGAAUGGAGCAGUACUCAGAGGGACCAGCUCCAAGGCCACAGAGGGGAAGAAGAAAGAGUACAUUUCAAGAGGACUCCUUUUCUCAAAUAAAUAAAGAGUUUUACAUCUCAAAAAAGUAGAAAAGUUCCGUGAUUAAUAACUACUCCAGAAAGUUUAUAAAAGACCCAACUGCUCAAGAGACAAAGGACCACAGAAGCUUCAACUGGCCAAGAGAUCAAGUACCAGCAACAAAUGCACUCUGUGAUGGAAAACCUGAUUAAAAUUUCUCAAAGAAAUCAUUAUGGGUGAGAAACUAAUUGAAAGACCUCCCUCCUGCCAGAGCUUUGCUAGAAAGAGAAGACUUCAAAGGCAUAGAGGGAGAGCUAAUGUUUUCACACUUAAAACUGAAAAAAGGCAAUCCUCAUGUUUGUGUUUGUUCAGUACACACUUCUCAAAUGUUGCCCCCUCACGCUCUAAAUCUGCUGGGUGGAAGAUCUAAACCUUGAAUAUACAAUGCUUUUUAGCUGGGGUGUAUGGUGCUAUUCUUCCAUGCUGUGUGCCUGCCUAUUCAUGCGCUUUUAUUCUUUAUUCUUCAGACUGAUAUAUAGUAAACAAUAUGGUUAGCCACUUAGAAUUCUCUGGGUUAUUAAAAUGUGAGUAGCAUUUUUUUUCCCUCUCUCCUGGAUUUCAUCUGGAACCACUACCUAAUUAAUAUCCAGAACCCAGCAGGAAUCUGAAUAAUAAUAAAACAAAACUUUUGUUGUUCCUUAAAUAAAUCUGUGUAAUUUAAACCACAAUCAUGGGGAUUUCAUCAAAAGUAACUCAGCUCUUCCAAA